UUGAUUCAGAUUUGAUUCAGACACACUCACGUCUGCAUAAAGGCGGCGCCUGAAGGCGCCGAAGCACGUCAUGGCUUCCACGGGUUUGAGGUUGAAGGCCCAAGGGCCAUUCGUUAAUGAUCCCUCCGCAGGUUCACCUACGGAGA
rnacentral:misc_RNA from 1 species